GUUUCUGCCUUCCUUUUUCCCUUUGUUCCACUAGUUCUACGUCAAUUUGGUACCAGAGCUUGCUCCACUUCAAUUUGAUAUCUAAGUUUGUUCUACAUUAAUUUGGUAUUAGAGCUCAGUUUUCCCUUAGCUCCGCAAAAUUUUGGCAGGACCUCUCCCUGCUAAUUUCAACCUGUUUUGACAUUCGUUUUGGGUAAAAAUGACUUUAAAACUGGUGAGAA
rnacentral:misc_RNA from 1 species